rnacentral:rRNA from 1 species
AACGCGAAGAACCUUACCUGGAUUUGACAUCUCACGACAACCCUAGAGAUAGGGCUUUGGUAGCAAUACCACGUGAAGACAGGUGCUGCAUGGCUGUCGUCAGCUCGUGUGGUGACAUGUUGGGUUAAGUCCCGCAACGAGCGCAACCCUUGUCCUUAGUUGCCAGCAUUCAGUUGGGCUCUCUAAGGAGACUGCCGUGGUUAACACGGAGGAAGGUGGGGAUGACGUCAAGUCCUCAUGGCCUUUAUAUCCAGGGCGACACACGUGAUACAAUGGACGGUACAGAGGGAUGCGAACCCGCGAGGGGGAGCCAAUCUCAAAAAGCCGUUCUCAGUUCGGAUUGGAGUCUGCAACUCGACUCCAUGAAGUUGGAAUCGCUAGUAAUCGAAGAUCAGCACGCUUCGGUGAAUACGUUCCCGGGCCUUGUACACACCGACGCGUA